rnacentral:rRNA from 1 species
ACUCCUACGGGAGGCAGCAGUGGGGAAUUUUGGACAAUGGGCGAAAGCCUGAUCCAGCAAUGCCGCGUGAGUGAAGAAGGCCUUCGGGUUGUAAAGCUCUUUUGUCAGGGAAGAAACGGUGAAAGCUAAUAUCUUUUGCUAAUGACGGUACCUGAAGAAUAAGCACCGGCUAACUACGUGCCAGCAGCCGCGGUAAUACGUAGGGUGCAAGCGUUAAUCGGAAUUACUGGGCGUAAAGCGUGCGCAGGCGGUUUUGUAAGUCUGAUGUGAAAUCCCCGGGCUCAACCUGGGAAUUGCAUUGGAGACUGCAAGGCUAGAAUCUGGCAGAGGGGGGUAGAAUUCCACGUGUAGCAGUGAAAUGCGUAGAUAUGUGGAGGAACACCGAUGGCGAAGGCAGCCCCCUGGGUCAAGAUUGACGCUCAUGCACGAAAGCGUGGGGAGCAAACAGGAUUAGAUACCCUUGUAGUCCCAUGA